rnacentral:rRNA from 1 species
UGGGGAAUAUUGCACAAUGGGCGAAAGCCUGAUGCAGCGACGCCGCGUGAGGGAUGACGGCCUUCGGGUUGUAAACCUCUUUCAGUAGGGACGAAGCGCAAGUGACGGUACCUGCAGAAGAAGCACCGGCUAACUACGCGCCAGCAGCCGCGGUAAUACGUAGGGUGCGAGCGUUGUCCGGAAUUACUGGGCGUAAAGAGCUCGUAGGCGGUUUGUCACGUCGUCUGUGAAAUCCUAGGGCUUAACCCUGGACGUGCAGGCGAUACGGGCUGACUUGAGUACUACAGGGGAGACUGGAAUUUCUGGUGUAGCGGUGGAAUGCACAGAUAUCAGGAAGAACACCGAUGGCGAAGGCAGGUCUCUGGGUAGUAACUGACGCUGAGGAGCGAAAGCAUGGGUAGCGAACAGG